AUCUUUGACAAUGAAAAGUGCACUCUUUACGAUAAGGACAAACAUGUCAUCGCUACUGCUAUUGAAGAUCACGGAAUAUAUAAACUUGAUAGAUCGAAAAACCGUGUCAACAUAGUAAUUACGUCUUCCAACUACGAAAUUUGGCAUAAAAGAUACAACCUCUAACGAGAUGUGGUCUGGAAAGGAAGCCUAAUGUGUCACACUUGAGAGUUUUUGGCUGCAAAGCAAUGGCUCACAUCCCGAAGGAGAAAAGAUGCAAGUGGGACUCGAAAUCUCAAGAGUUCAUUUUCGUGGGUUAUUCCGACGAGACCAAAGGUUUUCGACUGUUGGAUCCUAAGACAAAAAAGAUUGUUACGCAAAGACGUUAUAUUCAUCGAAAAUACUUCAGGUCACGAUAAUAAUCUACAUGAUGACGUUGAAACUUUUCUCUUCACUUUAACUGAUAAAUUAGAUACGAGCGAUGUAAGUUGCAAUGAACAUGUAAAUGAGGAUAUAUCUAGUGACAAGACGAUAGUCAUUAUUCAUCAGCGGAGGAUGAACCGUCAAAUGUAUGCGACGACAUAUAACAAACUAUUACGUAAAAUUACGUCGAUCAAUACGAGUAUCAGUACCUAAAAAUUAUAAUGAUUAUUAUUUAUAUAUCACAAUGUGUUCUUCCUGAUCCAGUUACAGUUGAAGAGGCCUUUCUGAACCCUGACGCAGCAAAGUGGAAGGAAGCUAUGAAUAAGGAAUUCGAGUCCUUACGUACAAAUAAUAUUUGGAGUCUGGUCGAACUACUCGAUGAUCGAAAAGUUAUACAAAUUAAAUGGAUAUUUAAACGUAAAGUAGAUGCUAAUAAAACUGAAAUCCAAUUUAAAGCACGUUUGAUGAUCAAAGGGUGUCAACAAAAAAGCAAGAUCGAUUAUUCCGAAAUUUAUGCUCCUGUAGUAAGGCAUGCUUCGCUUUGUCUUCUUUUUGCAUUAGCCGUAAAAUACGAUCUCAACAUCGAACACAUGGAUGCUAUAUCUGCCUUUUUACAAGGAGAUUUAGAUGAAAAAAAUCUAUGUAACACAACCGGAAGGAUUUAAAAUUAAAAGUAAAGAAGAUCAUGUUCACAAACUUAAUAAGGCUAUCUACGAGCUUAAACAAAGUGAGAAGGCUUGGAAUAAUAAAUUUCAUUCCGCUUUGCUCAAUAUUGGUCUUCAACAGUUAUCAAGAGAUCACUGUGUAUAUUUCAACGUGGAUAACCAAAAAAUAAUAAUAGUUGCAAUCUAUGUUGAUGAUCUAUUGAUCUGACCAACGAUCACAUAGAAAAAGAAAGGUUAAAAUCGGAACUUAUGAACAGAUUUAAAAUUAAGGAUCUUGGUUCAGUCAAAAGUUGUCUAGGGAUCAGAAUUACAAGAGAUCGGAAAAAUGAAAAAUUAUCUUUGGAUCAGCAGAAAUACAUAGAAGAUGUAUUAUCAAAGUUUAAUAUGCUUGACUGCAACUCAGUUCAUACACCAUUAGAACAUAAAUCCAAUCUAUCUAUCAAUGAAUCUACAGAGUCUAAAGACGGAGCAUCCUUGUAAAUACCAUAUCAAGAGACAGUUGGAUCGCUUAUGUAUCUUAGUCAAUGUACCAGAUCAGAUAUUACUUAUAUGGUAGGCUAUCUGAGUCGUUUUAAUCAGUCAUCCAACCAGUCGCAUUGGAGAUCGGUUAAGAGAGUGAUGCGCUAAAGGCGACAAUUAACUAUAAGUUAGACUACACGCAAGAUAAACAAGGAAAUCUAACUGGUUUCUGUGAUGUUGAUUGGGCCGGAAGUGCUGAAGAUCGUCGCUCAGUCACAAACUAUAUCUUUACUUGUCAGAAUGCAAUAUCGUGGGCCAGCAGGAAGCAAAACCUACUGUUGCAAUUUCGACGACUGAAACUGAAUACAUUAGCUGCUGUUACUUAGGAAACUAUUUGGCUAGAUGACUUGCUCUAUGAAUUAUCACUCAAUAUGGAAAACACUGAACCUAUAAGAAUCAAUUGUGAUAACAGAUUUGCGAUUGAACUUUCAAAGACAGGAAACUACAAACCACGCACUACAUAUUAAUGUUAAGCAUCAUUUUGUACGUGAGAAGAUAAUUAAUAACGUUAUAGAUGUUCAACACAUUAGUUCAGAGCGUAUGUUAGCUGACAUUUUAACCAAGUCAUUAUUUACUGUUACUCAUAAAAAAAC
rnacentral:lncRNA from 1 species